UUCACUGGGAGUUUUUGCUUCGGGCUCCGCCGGAGCCUCAGGGCCAGUUUGCUGCGCCAUCUCAGACUUGCACAUACUGUACAGAACAUAAGAUGGGCGAAGAGUUCUCUUUGGCGGCGUCGGCUUUCCCUGACGAUCGCAAGCUUCACUAUGACGCAGAGUUCCUCCUUUGUCACGCCAAGAGCCCGGCGUUCAUUUCCAAGUCUGCGCAAUUCCUGCGUCGCUAGAAGACACGGGAGCAGCCGAAAACGUCGCCUCGCCAGGUUGGAAACUUUCGGUGGGCGAUUUCAAGGUCUUCUAAAGGGCUGCGGCGAUUCUCGAGGACCGCCGUAGCUCCUCCCUGGGUUUACCGCGGACCAAGCUGGAAAAGGGGGAGAACCUGCAGGUCUUUCUCCGGCUCUUCACGAAAGAAAGCCCACCUGCUCUCAAGUUGUAGCGCGCAGCAUCAGUCCGGCAGCCGGUUACGGAGGGGGCCGUUCUUCCACCUACGCCUUCGUCUCCCCUCCUGCGGCGGAGAGCGAAAGCGAAAGCCGGGUGUGGCUCCGCCCCGCUUGCUGCGGCUGGAGGGAACCGUCGAAGCUUGACAGGCUGCGGGCUGGGCGGCUCCGGCUCCGCGAUCCUGAUCUCCUCCUCUUCCUCCCCCCGCUACAAGUCUUUCCCUUGGCCUGCGAGAGAAUCGUCGUGGCAAGAAAGCGGAUUGCCCUCCCUUGCGCCAGCCUGGACAUGUGGAUGUUAUGCGUGUGGUGGGUGCUGCUGGGCACUCUGGGCGCCGGUUCAGCCCAGCUGUCCUUUGCGAAGGUCCCAUAUCUUGAAAUAAACAACUGUAAUGGACCCAAAAUCAUCCUCCCUUGUGUGGUAACUAAUCUGAAAGAUAAUAGCAGUAUGGCAAUGUUUGUGUCAUGGCAAUUUCAAGGAAAUCAAUUUUUCAGUUAUGAUGGAGUUAAUGAUAACAUUACCAAAAACAAUAGUUUUAAUACUGCAAAUUUUCUGAACCGCUCGAUGAUACCCUACGGCAUUGUUUCACUUUCUGUGUCGACAAAGCAGGCUCGUCUUGGAAAUUAUACUUGUGAAGUAACAGAAGGAAACAGAGAAGGAAAAACAAGAGUUGAACUGAGAGAGAGUUCAGCCUGUCCAAAAAAUUCAUCAGAAAUCGUACCUUGGUUUAAGCCUGUGGAGCGGUUCUCUAUCAUUUCCAUCAUAAUAUUGAUUGUUAUUUUGUACUGGUGCCAGUUCAUUAUAGUAGCUAAAAAGUUUGACAUGACGUUCGAAAAGAAAAUUGGCUUAAGUGUUACAGGACUAUUAAUAUCAAUUUUUGCUGUGAUUGGUACCAUUUUUUAUGUCCAAGGUGGAUAUACAGCAUUGGUUAAAACUGGUAUUGGCCUCAUUGUCGUCCCUGCAAUCAUCGUAGUGCCUCUUUUAUACUUCCUGUUCACAUCAGUUUUUGAGAAGCAACCACUUUUUGCAGUUAUUUUGCUAGCUCUGAAAGCACUUGGAUAUGUAAUUGCUGUGGCUGGAUUUGCUUUGUGUGUGACAGAAUGUCUGCCGAAAUAUGGAGCUGUUCUAAUUGCAGGUUUAGCAAUUAUUAGUGCUGUAGCAGCAAUUGGCUUAAUUUACAUUAUUAUUAUUGUGAGAGACAUCUCUCAUCAUAUAUGAUUGGUUUGUAUGCUACAAUCUUCCAAUGGUGUAUCAGGUUCCAACUUGAAAGAUCAUCAACCUCCAAGGCACUGGAUAUGAGGUAAUUGAAUCCAAUUAUGAACAUGGAAACAAGUGGAGAGAGACUUUUGUUGAUACACCGUGGCCUUGAAGAUGCACUACUCAAAGAGAAAUAAAAUCAGGAAAUUAGUUGUUUUGCAUGUUUGGAAAAGUGCUAUACUGGCUCACCUGAUGUAACUUUAUAGUCACAGCAGCUGUAGUAAUUUUAAAAGAGAAGUAAGUGUAUGCAUGUGAGGUUUCCCCCUUUCCCUUCCUUACAGAUGGAUGAGAGCAAAAACCAUGAGGCUCUUGGUCCACUUUCUCUUUAGUGCUGCACUUCUCAGAGGAUCUUGAAAAUGCUGUUUUGCAUAGAGACCAAACAUCAUGAAGAACUACUUUUGGACAUCACAAUCUUGAUACAUUGGCUGUCAUCACCUCUGGGCCAGGGUUUUUGUUUGUUUGUUUUCCAUUUCGCUUUCAGUUUUGGUAUCCCUAAGCAACAAGCGCUUAUAUGGAAUAGCAAUCUUUAUAUUUUAGAAAAAGCUGCUGAAAAUCUGAAGUGGGGAUUGCUCAAAGGUUCUCAAAGAACAAUGUAGGUAUGUAUUUAUUUGCUGAUCCUCUUGCCCGCCAAAAAUUGGUGAACUCCAGCCCCACUUUAAAAAAAAAAAAAAAAAAGUUUAGCUAAGCCAGCACUGGGAUGUUUGAAAGUAUCUCAAGGUCACAGAAGAGAUUUCUAGGGGACCACUUAUACAAAUAUUUGUACUGCAUGAUAGAUUGUAUGAUUUUCUUUCUUGAAUUUUUAUUCACUGUUCUCUUAAAAACAACUGCAUUCCCAAUCUAUACUGUCAUGUGAAAAAAGUAAGUACACCCCGUGUAAAGUUUUCUCUAAGAUAGAUGUAUAUAGAAAUAUCAAUAUUUUUCUUAAUUUAAAUAAUAUAUAAAGGUGACUUAAAUGAACUUAAAAAAGAAAAAAAAUGACUUUGCAAUCAUUUUAUUUAACCAGAAAAUUAAAAGAUAUGCCAUUUUCUUUUAUGAAAAAGAUUAAGUACAUCUGUGUCUCUAAUACUGUACCCUUUGACAGAAACAACCUCAAGUUAACCUUUUUUCAAUCAUUUACUAUUAUCUGACAUUGCCUGUGAGGAAUUCCCCCUCCCCCCCACUUUUUGCAGAUUUUUUUUUUCAUCUGUGUAAUGUUUGGGCUGUUUCAAAUUUCAAAUCAUCUGAUAGCAUCUCAGUGGGAUUUAGAUUUAUACUUUAACUUGGCCAUUCCAGUAUUCAUUCAUUCAUUCAUCCAUCUUUCUUUCCUUCUUUCUUUCUUUCUUUCCUUCCUUCCUUCCUUCCUUCCUUCCUUUCUCUCUCCCUCUCCCCUUCCCCCCCUCCCUCCCUCUCUUUCACUUAUGCUUGACUUUCAGUCUUCUGCAAGAUGGUAUCACAUUAUUCUCAAACACCUUUUGUUACAAUGAAGAAUUCAUAGUGGAUUCUGUGAUGAUGAGCUGCCCAGAUCCUGAUUGCAGCCUCAAGCACUCUUUACAGUUUGUUAUUAGGUUCUUCUGGUGAAAUGCCAUCUUUGGUUUGGGCCAAAUAUGUCUUUUGUUAUAGUAACCAAAUAACUCUAUCUUUGGCUUGUAUGUGUCUAGAGCACAUUGUUCCAUAAAUCCUGGUCUUUGCCUACUAAGUGUUUGUGAGCAAACUUUAGUCUUGACUUAAAGUUCUUUCUGGACAGUAACAAUUUCCUCUGUUGCACAUGUCACGUGUAAUCUAAUUUGCUUCUUUCUAAUAGUAAUGCAACCAUCCUUGCUUUCCUUGACCUCUCAGCAACAUUCAUUAUCAUUAACUAUGCUACCUUUUGGGGCUAGUUAUGGGGGCUGGAGCUGGACAGCAAAAUAGUGCCCUGGUUUGGCUCCUUUCCCAAAGCCAGUCACAAUUGGUGAUAAUGGGGAAUAAGAGAUCCAGCCCAUGACUGCCCUCUUGGGGUAUGCUGCAGGGCUCAGUAGUAACUCCACUCCUUUUUAAUAUCUACAUGAAGCUGCUGGGUGAGGUCAACCGUCACCAUGGAUUGAGGUACCAUCAGUACACUGAUGAUACUCUCUCUCCACCCCUAGUGACCCAAGUGAUGCUGUUGCUGCUCUCUUGCAGUGUCUGGAGACUUUGGGGUCUUGGAUGAGAGCCACAGGCUUUGGGUGAACCCUGGCAAGACUGAAUAACUUCGGGUGCCUGGAGCCCCAAAUUCUGGCACUUUGACAUCCUUAGGUUAGGGUGGCACUAUCCUAGAGAGACCCAGUCUGAAAUUUUCCAGGUCUCUUGGACUCAUGACUCCUACUCAAAGAGCAGGUGGCAGUCACAGCUAGAAGAACCUUAGCACAACUUUGGGUUGUGCACCUGUUGCAGCCUUUCCUGGAUCAGGAGUCCCUGUGCUCAAUCAUUCAAGCCCUAGUCGUCUCAUAUUACAACCUGCUCUACAUGGAACUAUCCAUAAAGAGCAUUCUGAAGCUACAUCUGAUGUACAAUGUAUUGGCGCAGGCAGCUUUUGGGAUCCCCAGAGUGGCCCAUGUUGCACUGUUUUUCUGUGAGCUGCACUGCUGCACCCUCCCCAUGCCACCCCCCACGCCAGCAGAAGAGGCAUGCUGAGUUGCGUCCGCAAGUCACGCCAUUGCUAGGCAUAACAAGGAAGCGUCUCCCAUUGGCUAAGACGUGACAGCUCAGCCGAUCAGAAAAUAAAUGUGUGCCAUUGGUUAAACCAUUUGAAAGCUGCUAUAUAAAUAGCAGCUUGACAGAAAGUUGUUGCCAGUUUUCACAUUACUUGUUUAAUGUUAGAUGUUAUUAAAUCCCUAUUAAAGGGAUUUACUUGAAAGCCAUCUCGUCUCAGUUUCUAGCAACCAUUGUUCUUCUGAACAGAACAGAGGUCAGCUUUCACCGCCCUGACUUUCCAUAAGAGCUUGAAGAUCUGGUUCUGCCAGUUCGCCUGGGGUUCCAAUGGGGGAAAUUCAUACUGGUUGAUAGAUUAACAAAAUAGCCCACCUCUCCCCUUGCUCCUUCUACAACUUUCCUCCUUAUCUUUUAAUUAGAGCUGAUAAUUUGUAUUUUUAUAGUAUUUUAUUCUUUGUUAUAGACAUGUUUUUGUAUAGUUUUAUUCUUUUUAACCUUGUAAGCCACCGAGAAUCACCUCAUGGUGAGAUGAUCAGCAAACAAAUUUAAUAAAUAAUAGUACACUCAUAUAUUUUGACAUCAAUCAUGCCAAGAGGUACAUGUAUGUGAUACAAUGAAAUUCUGGGUUUUUUAGAAACUUCUUUCAGCAUUUUGAAUUCUGCUAUUAGGCUGAACUUGUGGAAACAGCCUGCUCUGGCUAAGUUGCCAGUUAUUUAAAAACUGUUCCACCUUUUAAUAAAAUCAUUGUUGGGUGAUCUUUUAAAAUCCCUUUCCAGACGCAAUAGCACUUAGACUUAUAUAUCACUUCACAGUGCUUUACAGCCUGUUCUAACCGGUUUACAGAUUCAGCAUAUUGCCCCCAACAAUUUGGGUCCUUAUUUUACCCACCUCAGAAGGACGGAAGGCUGAGUCAACAUUGAGCCUGGUGAGAUUUGAACUGCCAAAUUGCAGGCAUCUAUAAUCGUCUUUAUGAAUGCCUCAUAAGAGUGAUGAUACCAUAUAUUUCAAUAACAAAGAGUAAAUCAAUGGAAUCUCUCGGAUUUAAAUAGAGGCUCCUCCCAGUCCUCUCCAAUUAUUUUCUAAUCAUUUGCCAUUUUAAACUUUAAAUAUUUGAGGUAGUACUAAAUGUAGGGGAGCUCUUACUUUCUCCACAUGUAAAUUUUGAAUUUAUAUUUAUUUAACUUACACAUUGAACUACAAAAUGUAAAUGAGGUUUGAUAUUUGUUGUAGGAUAUCCCCUUUAUCAAUAUUGUUGAAGUGAAAAUAAAAUAUACUAUAUGUAUAUGGAAAUAUGUUGAAAAAGUUAAAAAUAAUAAAUAAAUAGGGUGUACUUACUUUUUGCAUGACUGUAUUUUGAGAUUUUUAUGGUAAAUACACAAAGAAAUAUAUUAAAAGGAACAAUUUGUAUAAGCUUUAUUUAUGCCUAUAUAGUAUAAAUAUGAGUGGAUGUGGUCUUAAGUGAACAAAUAUUCUUAGUAUAAUAUUCUUUUUUUAAAAAAUAAAAAUUAGUUUUUAUUCCUAAAUAGAAGGUUGACUUUCAACAAAUUCAGAUGGUCACAAAAGUCCCCUUGACCCACUUGGUGUUAGUAAAUCUGCUGUAUAUAUUGUAAUUCUUUGUGUUCUUUGCUGAUCAGUAUUGUAGUCCACAUAUCUUUUUCUCUUUUCCUCUUCUUUAAAAUGCUUUUAAAUGCAAGGGCCAACCUGAAUAUUAGUUGCAUAAGUCCCAACUUCUGUACUGUUGAAUGUAGUCCUUUAAUAUUCAUAAAGCUAGGCAUCAACCUAUAACAAUUUUGAUAAAUCAUCCUUCCCCCCCCUUCCCCCAUUUUUUAUAGCCUGUGGUCAUGCAAACGUAUGGUUUGAAAUAUGUAGUGUUCUCAUUUUACUACAGGUUGCCAAGCAUUCCAGAUUAGACUGCAAAUUCAUAAACCCGUAUUAUGAUUUAUGUGAUUUUGUAAAGGCUUUAUGCAAGAGGAUUCAGGGAACUGUGUAUCUCUAGUCUUCAUGCACUUUAAAGUGUUCUGUAAUACAUUCAUUCUACUACACGAUGCAUAAAAAGGCUUUUUCUGGCCUUCUCUCUCUCUCUCUCUCUCUCUCUCUCUCUCUCUCUCUCUCUCUCACACUGAGAAUUCACCCACCAUAAAUUAAUUGCAAAAAGCAACUGCUUUAUUUUAAUAAUCAUUCUAUUUUACCGACUACAGGUAAUCCUCGGCUUAUAACAGUUCAUUUGGUCAAUGGUCAAUUCAAAGUUACAAUGGCAUUGAAAAAAGUGACAAGACCAUUUUUCACCCUUAUGACUGUUGCAGCAUCCCCAUGGUUUUUGGAUGUAACUGACUCAUAAUUAUGACAGUUGCAGUGUCCCAGGGUCACUGUGAUUUAACUUUUGUGACCUUCUGACAAGCAAAGUCAAGGGGGGGAGCCAGAUUCACUUAACAACUGUGUUACUAACUUAACAACUGCAGUGAUUCACUUAACGAAUGUAGCAAGAAAAGUCAUAAAAUGGGACAAAACUCGCUUAACAAAUUUCUCACUUAGCAACAUAAAUUCUGGGCUCAAUUGUGAUCGUAAAUCAAGGACUACCUGUUUUCGGUUACCUCCCUUAUGUAAAUCCAGAGCAGUAUACUGAAUCUACUUCUAUUUAUUUUAAUGUUUAGUGGAAAUUUGCUCUAUUUCCUUAUAAGUUUUCAGAACAGACUCUUGCUACUUUUCCUCCUUAUCAAUAAAUUGUGUUUCAUACAAGAAAGGUAUAGUGUCUGUUUUAUUUUAAUUUAGUUGGAUAUUUUCCUAAUAUGUUCAGCAUUCCUCCUUUUAUCCUUGUACUACAAAUAGAAGAAGAAAAAGAUGGCAGAGUGUAUUAAACCUAAAUAGCUAAAACUAUUGUAACUCCUACCAUUCCAUGUAUCUCCUACCUCAUCUGGAUUAACUAUUCAGUCUAGCAAUUAAAACAAAAACUUCAUGAAAGUUGGCAUACAGAACAGUUCCUAUUUUUAUUCAAAAUCAUUAAAACACAGUCAUUAAUGUGAUGAUUAAUUCCUUGUUUAAAACUAAAAUAAUUCAGUACUAUUGUAAAAUAUUGUAUAACAUUACCUGUUUGAAUUUAUUUCAAAUCAUGCAUAAGAAGCAAAUUCCUUGGCGUUACCGGCAUCAGGGCAGAGAUCAUGAAAAUGAAUUAUUCUGAAUGUGAAGUACUAUAUCCUGUUUGCUACAUCAUGAGGAGAAUGCUAUUAUGUGUUUUAGUUAUUGAAAGCUUUCUAAUGCCAUGUAUAUUAAUGUUUCAACUCAUGUUAUGAAACAUUCUUAUUUUUAAAAUUUGGUUUUAAUUAUAUGUCCAAUGUGGAGUUUAUGAAAGGAAUAAAUUUAUUUGAUGUGA